AAAUUGAAGAGUUUGAUCAUGGCUCAGAUUGAACGCUGGCGGCAGGCCUAACACAUGCAAGUCGAACGGUAACAGAAAGCAGCUUGCUGCUUUGCUGACGAGUGGCGGACGGGUGAGUAAUGUCUGGGAAACUGCCUGAUGGAGGGGGAUAACUACUGGAAACGGUAGCUAAUACCGCAUAACGUCGCAAGACCAAAGAGGGGGACCUUCGGGCCUCU
rnacentral:rRNA from 1 species